UGUAUCUAGGGAGGAACUCCUGGAAAUGCCCUCACACCCAGUGUGUGAGCUGUGCUAUCUAUAAAGUGUCACAAGCUGGUCAUGGAAUGAAGCCAUGGAAGAGAGGAAGCCACAGGCAGCAUCAGCACCUACUUGUCUUGUUGGCAUCUGGUCAGCUCUUGGGGACCAAGACUCAUUGCUCUGUGGGUGUAAAAAAAAACAUGAGGUCAGAUUGAAUCAAUGUAGGAAAUACAAGGGCACAUACAGCAGAAUGACCAAUAGCGGUGUCUGGAACAGAAAACAAAGUUAACAAAACUGCACGUCCCUAAAACAGUUUGGCAUUGUAAUAUGCAGUCCAU